CAAUUGCUUUACUUGGCUCCUGUCAAGGCCAACAAAAUUAACAUAACGAGUGACAGGGAGCAGAAGAAGAAGAAGACGGAGCAGCAACAGCAGCUCUUCGAGUUGUUAGUCCAGUUUGUUCUGCCAGCUGCACAGCGGGCACAUAAUUUGAGUGGUUUCCAGCUGUCAAAGGUGGCUCUAGUCAGCGCCAGCGAACCCAAGCUCAUUGACUGACAACACGACCUGUACCCGCUGACUGACUGGCUGCCGGGUAAUCUGACGUUCUGAUUCUAGCACUGCAAAGAGGGCAAGACCCUUGGUCUUUGACAGAUGGGCCGAUAGAUUCGUGCUGCCCAAAAAGAGAAUCGAAAAACCAAACAUGCAAAGCAAAAUACUAAAUAUUAUGGACUACCAGUUGCACUACACAGAUAUUAAGAAUUUAUGGUAUUAUUGAUAAAUUCGUGUUGUGUAUAGAAGAAUAUUUACAUAUAAUAUUUAAAAAUUGCAAGUCUCUAGCUUUUGCAGUUUUCGAGGUCGAUGCAUUGUAUUAUAUUAUAACUCUUUACUAAUUUUUAAUGGGUACAGGGUAUACAAACGAAAAUUAUAAAAAACCAUAAUUAGUUAAUUACGAA